rnacentral:piRNA from 1 species
UAAUAGAGACGGUGGAAGGAGUCAC